rnacentral:rRNA from 1 species
GACGAACGUUGGCGGCGUGCCUAAUACAUGCAAGUAGAACGCUGAAGAGAGGAGCUUGCUCUUCUUGGAUGAGUUGCGAACGGGUGAGUAACGCGUAGGUAACCUGCCUUGUAGCGGGGGAUAACUAUUGGAAACGAUAGCUAAUACCGCAUAACAAUGGAUGACACAUGUCAUUUAUUUGAAAGGGGCAAUUGCUCCACUACAAGAUGGACCUGCGUUGUAUUAGCUAGUAGGUGAGGUAAUGGCUCACCUAGGCGACGAUACAUAGCCGACCUGAGAGGGGGAUCGGCCACACUGGGACUGAGACACGGCCCAGACUCCUACGGGAGGCAGCAGUAGGGAAUCUUCGGCAAUGGGGGCAACCCUGACCGAGCAACGCCGCGUGAGUGAAGAAGGGUUUCGGAUCGGAAAGCUCUGUUGUAAGUCAAGAACGGGUGUGAGAGUGGAAAGUUCACACUGUGACGGUAGCUUACCAGAAAGGGACGGCUAACUACGUG